rnacentral:rRNA from 1 species
GUUUGAUCAUGGCUCAGAACGAACGCUGGCGGCAGGCCUCAAACAUGCAAGUCUAGGGGACGUAGCAAUACGUCACCGGCGGACGGGUGCGUAACACGUGGGAAUAUACCUUUCGGUACGGAACAACGCAGGGAAACUUGCGCUAAUACCGUAUACGUCCUUACGGAGAAAGAUUUAUCGCCGAAGGAUUAGCCCGCGUUCGAUUAGCUAGUUGGUGAGGUAAUGGCUCACCAAGGCAACGAUCGAUAGCUGUUCUGAGAGGAAGAUCAGCCACACUGGGACUGAGACACGGCCCAGACUCCUACGGGAGGCAGCAGUUGGGAAUCUUGGACAAUGGGGGAAACCCUGAUCCAGCCAUGCCGCGUGAGUGAUGAAGGCCUUCGGGUUGUAAAGCUCUUUUACCCGGGAAGAUAAUGACUGUACCGGGAGAAUAAGCUCCGGCUAACUUCGUGCCAGCAGCCGCGGUAAUCAGCU